rnacentral:rRNA from 1 species
CCUACGGGGUGCACCAGUGAGGAAUUUUGCGCAAUGGGGGAAACCCUGACGCAGCAACGCCGCGUGAGUGAUGAAGGCUUUCGGGUCGUAAAGCUCUGUCAAGUGGGAAGAACCUGCCUUUUGCUAAUAUCAAUCGGCACUGACGGUACCACUGAAGGAAGCACCGGCUAACUCCGUGCCAGCAGCCGCGGUAACACGGGGGGUGCAAGCGUUAUUCGGAAUCACUGGGCGUAAAGAGCGCGUAGGCGGUUUCUUAAGUCAGAUGUGAAAGCCCGGGGCUUAACCCCGGAAGUGCAUUUGAAACUAAGGGACUUGAGUAUGGGAGAGGGAAGUGGAAUUCCUGGUGUAGCGGUGAAAUGCGUAGAUAUCAGGAGGAACACCGGUGGCGAAGGCGACUUCCUGGACCAAUACUGACGCUGAGGCGCGAAGGCGUGGGGAGCAAACAGGAUUAGAUACCCGUGUAGUC